AUUGAACGCUGGCGGCAGGCCUAACACAUGCAAGUCGAGCGGAUGAAGGGAGCUUGCUCCUGGAUUCAGCGGCGGACGGGUGAGUAAUGCCUAGGAAUCUGCCUGGUAGUGGGGGAUAACGUCCGGAAACGGGCGCUAAUACCGCAUACGUCCUGAGGGAGAAAGUGGGGGAUCUUCGGACCUCACGCUAUCAGAUGAGCCUAGGUCGGAUUAGCUAGUUGGUGGGGUAAAGGCCUACCAAGGCGACGAUCCGUAACUGGUCUGAGAGGAUGAUCAGUCACACUGGAACUGAGACACGGUCCAGACUCCUACGGGAGGCAGCAGUGGGGAAUAUUGGACAAGGGGCGAAAGCCUGAUCCAGCCAUGCCGCGUGUGUGAAGAAGGUCUUCGGAUUGUAAAGCACUUUAAGUUGGGAGGAAGGGCAGUAAGUUAAUACCUUGCUGUUUUGACGUUACCAACAGAAUAAGCACCGGCUAACUUCGU
rnacentral:rRNA from 1 species